GCACAAGCGGUGGAGCAUGUGGUUUAAUUCGACGCAACGCGAAGAACCUUACCUGGGCUCGAAAUGUACGGGACAGCGGUAGAAAUAUCGUCUCCUAGCAAUAGGUCCGUAUAUAGGUGCUGCAUGGCUGUCGUCAGCUCGUGUCGUGAGAUGUUGGGUUAAGUCCCGCAACGAGCGCAACCCUUAUCUCCAGUUGCUACCAUUUAGUUGAGCACUCUGGCGAAACCGCCUCGGAUAACGGGGAGGAAGGUGGGGAUGACGUCAAGUCCUCAUGGCCUUUAUGUCCAGGGCUACACACGUGCUACAAUGGCCGGUACAAACCGCUGCAACCCCGCGAGGGUGAGCUAAUCGGAAAAAGCCGGCCUCAGUUCGGAUUGGAGUCUGCAACUCGACUCCAUGAAGCUGGAAUCGCUAGUAAUCGUGGAUCAGCAUGCCACGGUGAAUACGUUCCCGGGC
rnacentral:rRNA from 1 species